CUCGUCGUGGCGCAGAGGUUAACGAAUCCGACUAGGAACCACGAGGUUGCGGUUCUGAUCCCUGGCCUUGCUCAGUGGGUUAACGAUCCGGCGUUGCCGUGAGCUGUGGUGUAGGUCACAGACGCAGCUCGGAUCCUGCAUUGCUGUGGCUCUGGCAUAGGCCAGCAGCAAAAGCUCCGAUUAGACCCCUAGCCUGGGAACCUCCAUGUGCCACGGGAAUGGCCCUAGAAAAGGCAAAAAGACAAAAAAAAAAAAAAGUAUACAUAUAUAUAACUGGAUCACUUUACUGUACAACAGAAAUUGACAGAACACUGUAAAUCAGCUGUAAUUACAAAAUUAAAAAACAAAACAAAACAAAAAAAUGCUUUGCAAUUUGGUUCCAGGAGCAGGAUAUUUUGGGGGCACAAGCCACCUGUCUCCUUGCAUGGCCUGCAAUUAACCUUUCUCAGCUCCAAAAAAAAAAAAAGUUUUAUUCAGCUUGCAAUUACUUACACAUCACACAAAUCCAAAAAUUGCAUCUAGUGGAAGCCAACAGACCAAAAUAAAAAAUGGGUUCUAAAAUAUCAAGUAUCCAAAAUUUUCACAUCAUGCCUAAUUAUCCUAAAGUUGUUGGGGUUUUUUUUGUUUCGUCUGUUUUUUGGGUAUUUUUUUGUUUGUUUUUAAUCCAACAGGCUAUGGAUAGAUAGAUAGGUAAGAUAUAGGAUUUCUGCCAUCUUACCUAAGAAGUUGACAUAGACAAACUUUAAGGUUCUUUUCGGUCAUAAAAGUAUUAUUUCUAUUGGUAAAAAAAGCAACAAACAUUUAGUAAAGGAAUAAAAUAUUAUAC
rnacentral:lncRNA from 1 species